GAAAUGCGAUACUUGGUAUGAAUUGCAGAAUCCCGUGAACCAUUGAGUCUUUGAAAGCAAGUUGUGCCCGAAGACAUUAGGUUGAAGGCACGUCUGCCUGGGCAUUUCACAUUACAUCGCCCCUGUCCCCGAAGGGUUGCGAGCGGAUGUUUGUCCCCUGCGCGCGGUCGGCCUAAAAACGAGUCCCUCGCGGCGAAUGACGCGUCGCAACGAGUGGUGGUUGACAAACCGUUGGGUCGUGUCAUGUGCGUCCCAGUUGUUGCAGGAGGUCUGUUGUGACCCUGUUGCGCUGUUGCUAAGGUGCUUCGAUCGUGACCCUAGGCCAGGCGGGAUUACCCGCUGAGUUUAA
rnacentral:misc_RNA from 1 species